CGGCGGACGGGUGAGUAACGCGUAGGAAUCUACCUGGUAGUGGGGGACAACAUGGUGAAAACCAUGCUAACACCGCAUACGCCCUAAGGGGGAAAGCGGGGGAUCUUCGGACCUCGCGCUAUUGGAUGAGCCUGCGUAAGAUUAGCUAGUUGGUGGGGUAAAAGCUCACCAAGGCGACGAUCUUUAGCUGGUCUGAGAGGAUGAUCAGCCACACUGGAACUGAGACACGGUCCAG
rnacentral:rRNA from 1 species